UCGGGGUAAACAAGGUGAGGCGUUCUUCCGCAGCCCUGCCGAGCCGUGCCGAGCCGAGCUGUGCCGGGGGGCUCCGGGCGCAGCCUGGCACCGCUGUACACCACCACGCACCGGUGCGAUGCUGGCUGCGGCUCCCCCCGCGCUGCCUGAGCGCCGGCAGGUCCAGCCUCUCGGGGGGAUUACCCGUGCGGUUGGGGUCACUAAUGUUAAUUAAUUAAUUUUAAUAUAAUAACGAAUUAAUAAAUAUUAACAGCCAUAACGGUGGGCGCAGGCGGUGGCAGGCUGGCGCCGGCCCGGCUUUUUUUCUCAAUGAAGAAAUCGUUUUUUUCCGGGCAGCGCGGGUCUCCGCGUACUUACGGGAGCAAGAGCGGUUGCUUCCCGGUGCUGUCGGGUGGGAGGAGUUCUCCCGACUCCAGGCUCUUAAUCCAUCCCAAAAUUAAAAUGGGGGGGCCAGAGGGAAGACGUAAACCUUUUCGCCCUGCACAGAGAAAGCCAUGAAUGAGGUCGGUCUGUCCCCGCCCAGCACCACUGCGGUCUGCUUUGGUGAAUAUGGACUCUGCGUGGACAGGAGCCAACCCCCCCCUCCAAGCCAAUAGCAGUCUUUCUUCUAUUGAUGUCAAUGAGCGUAGAUCAGAGCACAAGUCUUGCGAGUGAUCAAAGACAGCUCUACAUAAGAAAGACUUCCUUUUCCAGAAAAACAUAAAAAGGAAUAUACUGUGUCUGUGACAAACCUGGAUCUCUUGGGUGGUCCUGAUAAUGGGAUACUUGGUUAGACAUGAGCUUUUUUGGCGAAUUUCAUGGCUCCUGCCAACACCUUCAGAAGAUUACCAUUUCUGGUAAGGGCUCAAAACAUUAAGGGAAAACUAAAAAGAGAGCAAGUUCUUUCAAGAGUAUAAAGUUGAUGCUGUGGGCAAUUGGAAUGAGCUACAUCAACUUUCAGAGAUUAAACAGGAAAAACUGCAAAGAAGAUUUACCAGUCAAAACUCUGUCAUUAGAGAUCACUUUUUUGCCAUUAAAAUAAAAUGAAUUUUAAAAAUGAAA